UGCAGUCGAACGAUGAUCUCCAGCUUGCUGGGGGGAUUAGUGGCGAACGGGUGAGUAACACGUGAGUAACCUGCCCUUGACUCUGGGAUAAGCCUGGGAAACUGGGUCUAAUACCGGAUAUGACCAUUCCGCGCAUGCGGUGGUGGUGGAAAGCUUUUGCGGUUUUGGAUGGACUCGCGGCCUAUCAGCUUGUUGGUGGGGUAAUGGCCUACCAAGGCGACGACGGGUAGCCGGCCUGAGAGGGUGACCGGCCACACUGGGACUGAGACACGGCCCAGACUCCUACGGGAGGCAGCAGUGGGGAAUAUUGCACAAUGGGCGAAAGCCUGAUGCAGCGACGCCGCGUGAGGGAUGACGGCCUUCGGGUUGUAAACCUCUUUCAGUAGGGAAGAAGCGAAAGUGACGGUACCUGCAGAAGAAGCGCCGGCUAACUACGUGCCAGCAGCCGCGGUAAUACGUAGGGCGCAAGCGUUAUCCGGAAUUAUUGGGCGUAAAGAGCUCGUAGGCGGUUUGUCGCGUCUGCUGUGAAAGACCGGGGCUCAACUCCGGUUCUGCAGUGGGUACGGGCAGACUAGAGUGAUGUAGGGGAGACUGGAAUUCCUGGUGUAGCGGUGAAAUGCGCAGAUAUCAGGAGGAACACCGAUGGCGAAGGCAGGUCUCUGGGCAUUAACUGACGCUGAGGAGCGAAAGCAUGGGGAGCGAACAGGAUUAGAUACCCUGGUAGUCCAUGCCGUAAACGUUGGGCACUAGGUGUGGGGGACAUUCCACGUUUUCCGCGCCGUAGCUAACGCAUUAAGUGCCCCGCCUGGGGAGUACGGCCGCAAGGCUAAAACUCAAAGGAAUUGACGGGGGCCCGCACAAGCGGCGGAGCAUGCGGAUUAAUUCGAUGCAACGCGAAGAACCUUACCAAGGCUUGACAUGAACCGGUAACGCCUGGAAACAGGUGCCCCGCUUGCGGUCGGUUUACAGGUGGUGCAUGGUUGUCGUCAGCUCGUGUCGUGAGAUGUUGGGUUAAGUCCCGCAACGAGCGCAACCCUCGUUCUAUGUUGCCAGCGG
rnacentral:rRNA from 1 species